AUGGAAACUAAGGUGAUGUGCUGGGUGGGGAGGGGCCAAGAAAGAGGAUACAGGAAGAGAGUGCUUUGCAGGAAAACGUUUGUUUCACUUUCAAUUUGUUGCCUUCAAAAUAUUCAGAACAUGUUGCUCUGGAGCUCAGGAGAGAAGGUGAAGUAAAGAUCUGAAUUCGGCAACUCGGAAGCGAAGCUCCAAUCUUGAGGAUGGAUCAGAUUGGUGAGGGAGACUGUCAUAUAGAGUGAGAAGAGAGAUCCAAGGACAGAACUGCAGGAAGCAUCAAUAUUUGAGGAAUGAGAAAGGAAGAAAAGCCUCCCACAAAAGAGAUGAGACAAGAGGAAUGGUUACACAGGUGCUGGAAGAACAUAUUAAACUUCUGGGUCAGAGACAAAGAACUUUACUACUCAGGGCUCUGCAAGCAGCAGAAACAUCAGCAUGUUUGCAUCAGUUCACCUUGCCCCAAGCCCCAUAAGGGUGACACAAUAUGACCCAGAUGGAUGCUACACACACAGAGGGUUGCUUGCUAUAAACAUAAUCCUGAGAAAUGGCUCAGGAAAAAAGGCAUCAGGACGUUGCAUUCUGGCAUACCCAGAAAGACAUAUAGAAGCACUAGAGACCCAUGAAGGACUGACUGUCUCUCCCAACACACCUUGUGGUGGUUUUGUCUUCACAUUGGCUUUCUCCAUUGGCUGCAAAUCAGUAUCCAUGGAGAAGAGGCCUUGCCCUGACGGCAAUCCAGAGAAGUCUUGAGCUUCCCUGUGAUUGGAGCAUACAUG
rnacentral:lncRNA from 1 species